rnacentral:lncRNA from 1 species
CUUCUUCACAGGCUGAUUCUACAAGCAUGAACCACAAUCGACACUGUAGCAAAAUCCAGCACGGCCUUUAUGUUUGGACUUCAAAUUCCAUAAUAAUCACAGCUUCAGACAAAGCCACACCGACAGUGAUUAUGCAACCCUAGACUGCAACCUUGAUCCAUGUUUGUCAAUGACAACAGUGGCCAAAUCCUCUCGUUAGGCCGAGUUUUGAGUUGCACCGUAAAAGUUCUCCUCCACAAAUACAAAUCUAGAGCACAAGUGUAUUCUAGGUCAUAAGAAGGCUAGAUCUGUAACUAAACAAGAGGAUUCAAAACAACAACGAGUCGGAUGUGGCCUCCCACCCAAAGUCGCAGAUUCAAAGCUUACCGUCGAUCACAGAAAGGAAGAAAGAUGCUGCCUACAGCACCUCAAUGAUGACACUCCUUCGAAGCUUGAUAAGUCGUCCAUACAAUAGACUUUUGCUAUACCAGCUCACAAUGUAAUCUCACCUCUGCUCAACUACCUCAAAGUACUUAAGGAGUACCUCAAACAUCGAACCGCACUGCUUCAUGAACUUAAGGAGAUACGUAAAUAAUAAAAAAAAUAAAAAAUAAAGAGGAUUCCUAGAUGACUAAAUAUUCUGGAAAGCAUUAACAUAGAAGUGCCACCGCAUCAAGCAAUCGAUCCUCCACUCAUAUAAAAGAUCCAAUAAUUUAUCGACCAAGAAUCCAAUAAACUCGUAUACGAGAAUAGAAUGGAAAACCAAGGCUUAAACAAGAAAUGCUUUCCAAACACAAAAACAGCUGCAAGUCGGAGAUCGGUGAUGAAGUCCUCCAAGAAGCGCCCCACCAACCCAAUCUUCUAAAGAUUUCCUAGCGCUCGGAGACAGAACGCCUCUCCACAACAACACCACCCACACUUAGACCUACUCUAGCACCGCACAGCAAAUAACCAACGAACCCAGCAGCACUCUUGCCGCAAAGACCUGAUCAUCUACAACAAGGAUCUCUUCCAU